UUAUAAUGGAAGAGGACACGGAGGGAAAGGAGGGUAUGGAGGUGGGCACGGAGGGUAUGGUGGUGGUGGCCACGGAGGGUAUGGUGGUGGCCACGGAGGAUAUGGUGGUGGUGGCCACGGAGGAUACGGUGGUGGUGGCCACGGAGGAUACGGUGGUGGUGGCCACGGCGGUCACGGUGGACAUGGAGGAGGUUAUAAAGGAGGCUGCGCCUAUGGCUGCUGUCGUUCAGAUCAUCACGGAAGAGGCUGCCAAAGGUGCUGCUCUUAUGCUGGCGAGGCUGUCGAAGUUGAAACUCACGCCUAAUGUAGCCUUUUGCAUUUAUAGUUGGCA
rnacentral:lncRNA from 1 species